rnacentral:rRNA from 1 species
UACGGGGGGAGCAAGCGUUGUUCGGAUUUACUGGGCGUAAAGGGCGCGUAGGCGGCCACCGCAAGUCGACUGUGAAAUCUCCGGGCUUAACUCGGAAAGGUCAGCCGAUACUGCGGGGCUAGAGUGCAGAAGGGGCAACUGGAAUUCUCGGUGUAGCGGUGAAAUGCGUAGAUAUCUGGAGGAAUACCGGUGGCGAAGGCGGCGUUCUGGACUGCAACUGACACUGAUGAACGAAAGCCAGGGGAGCAAACGGG